ensembl:lncRNA
AUGAAGAGUGACCGCUCUAUGGAUAUACCAUUGAUCUUUAAAGAUGGACGCCCCUCCAGAGAGGAGAGACACCAGAAGAGGUCAAAGGUUACCAGUGCUCAGUCUCUACAGCAGCAUCAAACAGAGCUGAUCAAGAGGGCUGAGGAGAACGCACACGCUUUCCUAGACAAGGAGCUGAAGAAGCUCUGGAGGGAUCUCUUCUCAGAUUACCCAAAAUGCUCAGAGGGUCAGAGAGUGGAGGGGGAGGAGGUGGAUGGUAAGAAGAAGGAGCAGAGGAGGCGCGCCAUAGAGGGAGUGGUGGACAUCACAAAGCUCUGCCUGAUGGAGAUGAACCAGAAGGGACUGGCCGACAAACUAUUGAGUGGUUAGUGAGGCUCUUAUCUUGAAAACAGAGAAGAAAUGCACUUUUUGAUGAGCAGUAGGAGAUUAUUAUUUGUUCUGUUCAGACUUAAUGACAUAAUGUGAGACUUAUACAUUUCAAACUACAAUGUGGAGACAAUCUUUCCUCUUUGGGGUUAAAUGGUUUGACCCAGUAUGUAGGGUUGUUGUGGGGUAUCAGGUUAAAUGGUUUGAUCCACUAUGUAGGGUUGUUGUGGGGUAUCAGGUUAAAUGGUUCUCUCCGGAUAUGUAGGGUAAUGGUGGGGGUCUCAGGUUAAAGAAUGUUAAACAUCAUCAUUACCAAAAUCUCACUUUUUGAGGUUUUCUAACAUAAAUAUGAGUUCCCCUAGCCUGCCUAUGGUCCCCCAGUGGCUAAAACUUGCGUUUGGUGUAAAACGAGCACUAGCUGUUCUGCUCGCCUUUGAAAAAACGGAGGCUCAAGCGCGCUGAUUUGGAAUGUCUGUGCUCAUGACGUCGAGAGGAAUCUCAGCUCCUCCCCUUACUCUGCCUGGCCCGCCCAGAGACGUUGGCCUGCCAAUGAGACUCGACCGUGCGAGCGCCACAUGUGUGUGUGUGAAUACACACACUGUAACGCAAGUGUUUCUUGUCGGUUCUUUGACGUGUCUUGUAUUUCCACAACGAGACUGUCGUGGGGGUUAUCUGAGCCAUGGUUGAGAAGGAAUUGGGGGAAAGGAACUUUGGUUUGACUCGCUGAAGUACAUGAACUGCGACAUGCCGCGAGGCGCCAUCGCCCGGCAGCGGGCAGCCGGCAGCAGGCAACGCGCGGUUCAGUCGACUUCAGGUUGAUGUGAAAGUGGAAGAACCAGAGACGUCGCAGAACCCGACAAAGUCGUUUGUGAUUCAUAAUAUCGUCUGGAGGCGCACACAAUAUGUUAUAUGAUAUAGAUAUCUAUGUAUUAUAUGAUAUUAUUUAGAUAUAGAGCUCCAGGACUGUAACGCAAGUGUUGUACACUUCCUUGUUAUUUGGAUAACCGUUCUGCUGUUGGUGUGAUGGCGCAUAACACGUCGGACUCUCGUCUCUGGUAUUUCUACAACGAGACUCGUAUUGGGGGUUAUCUAAGCCAAGGUUGAGAAUGAAUUGGGGGGAAAGAACUUUGGCUUCGACUCCCUCAAGUCAAGAACAUGAACCACGACAAGGAGGGGAAAGGGAUCUUUGCCGGGCAGCGCUUAGGCACCUCCGCCUCCGGCGGUGGUCCCUCAGCGGGGCUCAAGCGGGAGACAUUCGCCGCCAACAAUCCCUUUCUCCUCCAUGUCGUGGUUCAUGUUCUUGAGGGAGUCAAAGCCAAAGUUCCUUCCCCCCAAUUCAUUCUCAACUUUGGCUGAGAUAACCCCCAAUACGAGUCUCGUUGUAGAAAUACCAGAGACGAGAGUCCGACGUGUUAUGCGCCAUCACACCAACAGCAGAACGGUUAUCCAAAUAACAAGGAAGUGUACAACACUUGCGUUACAGUCCUGGAGCUCUAUAUCUAAAUAAUAUCAUAUAAUACAUAGAUAUCUAUAUCAUAUAACAUAAUGUGUGCGCCUCCAGACGAUAUUAUGAAUCACAAACGACUUUGUCGGGUUCUGCGACGUCUCUGGUUCUUCCACUUUCACAUCAACCUGAAGUCGACUAAACUGCGCGCUGUCUGCUGCCGGCUGCCCGCUGCCGGGCGAUGGUGCCUCGCGGCAUGUCGCAGUUCAUGUACUUCAGCGAGUCAAACCAAAGUUCCUUUCCCCCAAUUCCUUCUCAACCAUGGCUCAGAUAACCCCCACGACAGUCUCGUUGUGGAAAUACAAGACACGUCAAAGAACCGACAAGAAACACUUGCGUUACAGUGUGUGUAUU